UAAUACGGAGGGUGCAAGCGUUGUCCGGAUUUAUUGGGUUUAAAGGGUGCGUAGGCGGUUUAUAAAGUCAGUGGUGAAAGUCUUCGGCUCAACCGGAGGAUUGCCAUUGAAACUUAUAGACUUGAGUACAGUAGAGGUAGGCGGAAUUUAUGGUGUAGCGGUGAAAUGCAUAGAUACCAUAAAGAACACCGAUAGCGAAGGCAGCUUACUAUGCUGUUACAGACGCUGAGGCACGAAAGCGUGGGGAGCGAACAGGAUUAGAUACCCUGGUAGUCCACGCCGUAAACGAUGCUCACUCGAUGUUGGCGAUAUACAGUCAGCGUCCAAGCGAAAGCGUUAAGUGAGCCACCUGGGGAGUACGCUGGCAACAGUG
rnacentral:rRNA from 1 species